rnacentral:rRNA from 1 species
GCAAAACAGCUAGCCUUAAUAUUUAAUAAAAUAAUCAACCAUAAAUUACAAAACAAAAAAAUUAAAAAUAAAACAUUCUCCCACCUUAGUAUGGGCGACAGAAAAGGAUAUACUAGAGCCAUAGAAAAAGUACCGCAAGGGAAAGCUGAAAGAGAAAUGAAAAAACCCAUAAAAGCAUAAAAAAGCAGAGAUUAAUACUCGUACCUUUUGCAUCAUGAUUUAGCAAGCAAAACUCAGGCAAGAAGCACCAUAGUCUGAGACCCCGAAACUAGACGAGCUACUCCGAAGCAGUCUAAGAGGACUAACCCGUCUCUGUAGCAAAGAGUGGGAAGACUUCCGAGUAGAGGUGAAAAGCCUACCGAGCCUAGUUAUAGCUGGUUGCUUAAGAAAAGAAUAUGAGUUCAGCCUUAUAAGUUUCUCAAAAAAUCAAAAUAAAAGAAUAAAGUAACACAUAAGAGUUAGUCGAAGGGGGUACAGCUCCUUCGAAAAAGAACACAACCUUACCCAGGUAAAUAAGGAUUACACUAAAAAAGGACAUGACUUUCAACAGUGGGCCCGAAAGCAGCCACCUCUAAUAGAAAGCGUUAAAGCUCAAGAACAGCCACACCAGAAAUAAAAAUAAUCACUCCUAAUUUCCUAAUAAUAUUAAGCCGCCCUAUUUUUAUAUAGGAGAAAUUAUGCUAAAAUGAGUAAUAAGAGAAACUAGACCCUCUCCGGGCACACGUGUAAAUUAGAGCGGACAAACCACUGACAACUAACGGACCCAAAAAGAGGGUAAAACAAUAAAACUCAAUAAACAAGAAAAACCUAUUUAAACAACCGUUAACCCAACACAGGAGUGCCACUAAGGAAAGACUAAAAGGGGAAGAAGGAACUCGGCAAACACAAACCUCGCCUGUUUACCAAAAACAUCGCCUCCUGCAAAUAGAAUGUAUUGGAGGUCCUGCCUGCCCAGUGACAAUAGGUUCAACGGCCGCGGUAUUUUGACCGUGCAAAGGUAGCGUAAUCACCUGUCUUUUAAAUAAAGACCUGUAUGAAUGGCAAGACGAGGGUUUUACUGUCUCCUCCCCCCAGUCAAUGAAAUUGAUCUACCCGUGCAGAAGCGGGUAUAAAAACAUAAGACGAGAAGACCCUAUGGAGCUUUAGGCAUAUGUCAAAUAUGUAAAAAACCAAAUUUUCCAAAUAGGCCUAAAAAACGGGAAAAACAAGUAUUAAUGACUAAAUGCCUUCGGUUGGGGCGACCACGGGGAAGAAUAAAACCCCCACAUGGAAUGGGAAAAAUAACCCUAAGACAAGAAAAACACUUCUAAGCAACAAAAUUUUUGACCAAUUAACGACCCAGGGACACCAUCCCUGAGCAAUGAACCAAGUUACCCUAGGGAUAACAGCGCAAUCCUUUCCCAGAGCCCAUAUCAACGAAAGGGUUUACGACCUCGAUGUUGGAUCAGGGCAUCCUAACGGUGCAGCCGCUGUUAAGGGUUCGUUUGUUCAACGAUUAACAGCCCUACGUGAUCUGAGUUCAGACCGGAGCAAUCCAGGUCGGUUUCUAUCUAUGAAAGUGCCUUUUCCCAGUACGAAAGGGCCGGAGAAGGGGGGCCCAUUCUAAAAGCAAGCCCUACCACCCACUUUCUGAAAACAAAUAAAGAAAUAAGGGUGAACAUUUUAAAGCCAAAGAUUAUGGCAC